UGGCGCCUACGGGGCGCAGCAGUGAGGAAUAUUGGUCAAUGGGCGGGAGCCUGAACCAGCCAAGUCGCGUGAGGGAAGACGGUCCUAUGGAUUGUAAACCUCUUUAGGCGGGGAGCAAUGCCGGGCACGCGUGUCCGGAGGGAGAGUACCCGCAGAAUAAGCAUCGGCUAACUCCGUGCCAGCAGCCGCGGUAAUACGGAGGAUGCGAGCGUUAUCCGGAUUUAUUGGGUUUAAAGGGUGCGCAGGCGGCACGGCAAGCCGGCGGUCAAAUCGCGGGGCUCAACCCCGCCCAGCCGUCGGAACUG
rnacentral:rRNA from 1 species